rnacentral:tRNA from 1 species
UCCGGGAUUGUGUAACGGCAGCACAAGGGAUUUUGGAUCCCUAUGUCUAGGUUCGAAUCCUAGUCCCGGAG